rnacentral:rRNA from 1 species
GAUGAACGCUGGCGGCGUGCCUAAUACAUGCCAGUCGAGCGAACGGACGAGAAGCUUGCUUCUCUGAUGUUAGCGGCGGACGGGUGGGUAACACGUGGAUAACCUACCUAUAAGACUGGGAUAACUUCGGGAAACCGUAGCUAAUACCGGAUAAUAUUUUGAACCGCAUGGUUCAAAAGUGAAAGACGGUCUUGCUGUCACUUAUAGAUGGAUCCGCGCUGCAUUAGCUAGUUGGUAAGGUAACGGCUUACCAAGGCAACGAUGCAUAGCCGACCUGAGAGGGUGAUCGGCCACACUGGAACUGAGACACGGUCCAGACUCCUACGGGAGGCAGCAGUAGGGAAUCUUCCGCAAUGGGCGAAAGCCUGACGGAGCAACGCCGCGUGAGUGAUGAAGGUCUUCGGAUCGUAAAACUCUGUUAUUAGGGAAGAACAUAUGUGUAAGUAACUGUGCACAUCUUGACGGUACCUAAUCAGAAAGCCACGGCUAACUACGUG